CGGAGUCUCCCUCUGUCGCCCAGGCUGGAGUGCAGUGGCGCGAUCUCGGCUCACGGCAAGCUCCGCCUCCCGGGUUCACGCCAUUUUCCUGCCUCAGCCUCCUGAGUAGCUGGAACUACAGGCGCCGCGCCACCACUCCCGGCUAAUUUUUUUAUUUUAUUUUAUUUUUUAUUUUUAGUAGAGACGGGGUUUCACCGUAGCCAGAAUGGUCUUGAUCUCCUGACCUCGUCAUCCGCCCGCCUCGGCCUCCCAAAGUGCUGGGCUUACAGGCGUGAGACACUGCGCCCGGCCCAUACUACUACUUUUUUGUUAUUUAAAUUUAAUUUACUUUUUUUUCCUGACUUCUUUUAAUUAAGAAGAGGAGGAAAGGAGGGAAUUUUCCAUGAGUUUGAAUCCUACAAAUGCCACAAACAGCUUCUGAAGCUGAAGCCAUGACAAUGAACUUCCAUGACACAAAGAAGAUGAGGAAUUGGAAGGGAACAGUGCAGGAGAAACACAGUGACAUUGUGUCACAGUAGGUAUUUAUGCCUGCUAUCCUCAUCCGAGAUAAGGUCAAUAACUUCUGCUGGUGAAGCCCAAGUCUGCUGGGGGCUCACAGCAGUUCCAUGACUGUGUCUGCCUGGUGCUAAGAUACUGUGUGCCCGAGCCAUGCUUCCACGAAGAAGCACUCCAAAUCACACCACCUCGAGGAUGAACACACCUUGCAUGUUCCUGAACUCCCACAAUCUCUACUUCACUAUCUGAAGAGGCAAUAUUAAUUUCUUCAUUGAGCGGUGCAUUGCCGGCAGAUAUUUUGUCACUUGCUAGGAAUCCUGGAUGCAAAUGACCUGCCUCUGCAUUCAGCUCCUCUAGAAGCCAGCUGGUCCUCCAGGUAGCUCCUGUGUCCUGGCCGCCUAUAGAAUUAUUGUGCUCUUGAACUACUGCAGCCGCCGAUAAAUUGUACACAGUUACCACUUCCGGGUCAGAGCUGGUGUCAGACAUAUCAUAAUGAGCUACAACUGGAGGUCCAUCUGGUAUCUCUGCAGUGAUUGUCUUGCUGCUCCCUGAAACCUCUUCAUCAUCAUCUGAUGAG
rnacentral:lncRNA from 10 species